rnacentral:rRNA from 1 species
AUGGCUGAGCCGGUGAUGCUUCAUUCAAAUAUCUGCCUAUCACUUUCGAUGGUAGGAUAGAGGCCUACCAUGGUUUCAACGGGUAACGGGGAAUAAGGGUUCGAUUCCGGAGAGGGAGCCUGAGAAACGGUACACAUCCAAGGAAGGCAGCAGGGCGCCAAAUUACCAAUCCCGACACGGGGAGGUAGUGACAAUAAAUAACAAUACAGGGCUCUUUUGGGUCCUGUAAUUUGGAAUGAGUACAAUUUAAAUCCCUUUAACGAGGGAACAAUUGGGAGGGCAAAGUCCUUGGUUGCCAGCAGCCGCGGUAAAUUCCAGCUCCCAAAUAGCGUAUAUUAAAAGUUGUUGGCAGUUAAAAAGCUCGGUAGUUGAAACUUCAGCCCUUGGCCCGGGCGGUCUGCCUCACGGUAUGUACUGUCUGGCUGGGGCUUACCUUCUGGUGAGCUUGCAUGCCGUUUGUCGGUGUGUGAGGGAACCAGGAAUUUUACCUUGAGAAAAUUAGAGUGUUCAAAAGCAGGGCAAAUGCCCGAAUACAUUAAG